GACGAACGCUGGCGGCGUGCUUAACACAUGCAAGUCGAACGGAAAGGCCCUGCUUUUGUGGGGUGCUCGAGUGGCGAACGGGUGAGUAACACGUGAGUAACCUGCCCUUGACUUUGGGAUAACUUCAGGAAACUGGGGCUAAUACCGGAUAGGAGCUCCUGCUGCAUGGUGGGGGUUGGAAAGUUUCGGCGGUUGGGGAUGGACUCGCGGCUUAUCAGCUUGUUGGUGGGGUAGUGGCUUACCAAGGCUUUGACGGGUAGCCGGCCUGAGAGGGUGACCGGCCACAUUGGGACUGAGAUACGGCACAGACUCCAACGGGAGGCAGCAGUGGCGAAUAUUGAACAAUGGGCGGAAGCCUGAUGCAGCAACGCCGCGCGCGGGAUGACGGCCUUCGGGUUGUAAACCGCUUUCGCCUGUGACGAAGCGUGAGUGACGGUAAUGGGUAAAGAAGCACCGGCUAACUACGUG
rnacentral:rRNA from 1 species